GGGUUGUGAGGUUAAGCGACUAAGCGUACACGGUGGAUGCCCUGGCAGUCAGAGGCGAUGAAGGACGUGCUAAUCUGCGAUAAGCGCCGGUAAGGUGAUAUGAACCGUUAUAACCGGCGAUUUCCGAAUGGGGAAACCCAGUGUGAUUCGUCACACUAUCAUUAACUGAAUCCAUAGGUUAAUGAGGCGAACCGGGGGAACUGAAACAUCUAAGUACCCCGAGGAAAAGAAAUCAACCGAGAUUCCCCCAGUAGCGGCGAGCGAACGGGGAGGAGCCCAGAGCCUGAAUCAGCAUGUGUGUUAGUGGAAGCGUCUGGAAAGGCGCGCGAUACAGGGUGACAGCCCCGUACACAAAAGCGCAUAUGCUGUGAGCUCGAUGAGUAGGGCGGGACACGUGGUAUCCUGUCUGAAUAUGGGGGGACCAUCCUCCAAGGCUAAAUACUCCUGACUGACCGAUAGUGAACCAGUACCGUGAGGGAAAGGCGAAAAGAACCCCGGCGAGGGGAGUGAAAAAGAACCUGAAACCGUGUACGUACAAGCAGUGGGAGCACAGGUUUACCUGUGUGACUGCGUACCUUUUGUAUAAUGGGUCAGCGACUUAUAUUCUGUAGCAAGGUUAACCGAAUAGGGGAGCCGGAGGGAAACCGAGUCUUAAUUGGGCGUUAAGUUGCAGGGUAUAGACCCGAAACCCGGUGAUCUAGCCAUGGGCAGGUUGAAGGUUGGGUAACACUAACUGGAGGACCGAACCGACUAAUGUUGAAAAAUUAGCGGAUGACCUGUGGCU
rnacentral:rRNA from 1 species